UAAUACAGAGGGUGCGAGCGUUAAUCGGAGUUACUGGGCGUAAAGGGCGCGUAGGCGGUUAAUUAAGUUGGAAGUGAAAUCCCUGGGCUUAACCUAGGAAUGUCUUUCAAUACUGAUUGGCUAGAGUACUGUAGAGGGUAGUGGAAUUUCCGGUGUAGCGGUGAAAUGCGUAGAGAUCGGAAGGAACACCAGUGGCGAAGGCGGCUACCUGGACAGAUACUGACGCUGAGGCGCGAAAGCGUGGGGAGCAAACAGG
rnacentral:rRNA from 1 species